UUACGGCAAUAUCAUGUUGAAACAACCGUUCUCGCCUGAACACCGAAGUUAAGCGACGUCGAGCCUAGUGAAUGGGUGACCACUUGGGAAUACCAGGUGCUAUA